rnacentral:lncRNA from 1 species
UUAUUAUCAGUGUCCCUGGUCCCCUUUUUUUCUGUCAGCCCUUCAUCACCUUUGUAACCAAUUGCCUACGUUAAAUUCCUUCUGUUGAAAGAACUGCCUGGAUACUGCUGGACUUUUGACUCUUGUCAAUGGAAGUGGAUGACAGCAGGGUUACCUGUCUGAAGGUGUCUCUCUGUGCUCAGCCCUCCCUCUGGGGAGGCUGAGUUGUCACUUCCCCAUCAGAGGAAGACAAUCUGUCUCUGACCAGUGUCCUGGCUAAGAUGGGGCCCCGGUGGAGGUGUGUGAGCAGAUGACUCAGAGACUCUUCUUCAUAUUAAAAUAUUCCAGUAAUUAUGUCAGGGCCGAUCCGGCUCACGCAUGGCACUUUACAAAAGAUACACAAAUCGUGGCCCAGUAGGCUCUGGGCCAGAACACACGCAAGGCACCGGCGUGCUCCACAGCACCGCGGGCGGAUCAGAGCAUCUCCAGCCUGUCAAAGACCCACUCCUCUGUAUCUCUCCACGGGAGACAAGCCAUUUGCCGGAGCCACAUAAUGGAGCAUUCAGCCUUUGAAUUGCCACUUCUCUGAAGACUCUACAGGGCUAUGAGGGUGACUGCCUCAGGCCGGGAGGAAGGGAGGAAGAAGCAGAGGAAACAGAGACCCAGGGACACGCAGGAGACGAUGCCUUAUGCCAACUGAGGCCGAGAGUGGAGUGACAUCUAUAAGCCACGGCACACUGGCCACCGCCGGAAGCUGCAAGAGGCAAGGCAGCUUCCUCCCCCCGGAGCCGUCAGAGAGCGCAAGGCCCUGCCCGCGCCUUGAUUUCAGACUCCAGCCUCCAGAACGUGAGACAACUUUCUGUUGUUUUUACCUCCACCCCCUCUCCAGUUUGUGUCACUUUGUUAAGGCAGCCCUAGGAAAUGAAUACUCCCUCCCACCCACUUCUCUUUGCCUCCACUCUGCUGGAGUGCCGGGCCUGGAUGGGGAACAGGCCUGGCAGGGUUGCCCCUGGGACUACCCAGGGUAGCCUGACUGAGCACCUAUGUAGGCAAAGAAAACAGAAGAAAACAAAACAAGACAUCUGGUAAAAUUUGAAUUUCAGAUCAACAACAAAUUAACUUUUUU